CAACGCGACCCCAGGUCAGGCGGGG
rnacentral:rRNA from 3 species